rnacentral:rRNA from 1 species
GACGAACGCUGGCGGCGUGCUUAACACAUGCAAGUCGAACGGAGCACCCUUGACUGAGGUUUCGGCCAAAUGAUAGGAAUGCUUAGUGGCGGACUGGUGAGUAACGCGUGAGGAACCUACCUUCCAGAGGGGGACGAACAGUUGGAAACGACUGCUAAUACCGCAUGACGCAUGACCGGGGCGAUCCCGGGCCGAUGUCAAAGAAUUUUAUUCGCUGGAAGAAUGGCCUCGCGUCUGAUUAGGUAGUUGGCGGGGUAA